GCUAGCUGCAGGCUUAACACAUGCAAGUCAAGGGGAAACGACAUCGAAAGCUUGCUUUUGAUGGGCGUCGACCGGCGCACGGGUGAGUAACGCGUAUCCAACCUGCCCAUCACUUGGGAAUAACCUUGCGAAAGUAAGACUAAUACCCAAUGACAUCCCACGAAGGCAUCCGAAUGGGAUUAAAGAUUUAUCGGUGAUGGAUGGGGAUGCGUCUGAUUAGCUUGUUGGCGGGGUAACGGCCCACCAAGGCGACGAUCAGUAGGGGUUCUGAGAGGAAGGUCCCCCACAUUGGAACUGAGACACGGUCCAAACUCCUACGGGAGGCAGCAGUGAGGAAUAUUGGUCAAUGGGCGAGAGCCUGAACCAGCCAAGUAGCGUGCAGGAUGACGGCCCUAUGGGUUGUAAACUGCUUUUAUAAGGGAAUAAAGUGGGUCACGUGUGACUUUUUGCAUGUACCUUAUGAAUAAGGACCGGCUAAUUCCGUGCCAGCAGCCGCGGUAAUACGGAAGGUCCGGGCGUUAUCCGGAUUUAUUGGGUUUAAAGGGAGCGUAGGCCGGAGAUUAAGCGUGUUGUGAAAUGUAGUGGCUCAACCUCUGCACUGCAGCGCGAACUGGUCUUCUUGAGUACGCACAACGUGGGCGGAAUUCGUGGUGUAGCGGUGAAAUGCUUAGAUAUCACGAAGAACUCCGAUUGCGAAGGCAGCUCACGGGAGCGCAACUGACGCUGAAGCUCGAAAGUGCGGGUAUCGAACAGGAUUAGAUACCCUGGUAGUCCGCACGGUAAACGAUGGAUGCCCGCUGUUGGCCUGAAUAGGUCAGCGGCCAAGCGAAAGCAUUAAGCAUCCCACCUGGGGAGUACGCCGGCAACGGGGAA
rnacentral:rRNA from 1 species